ACAGAACGCUGAGAUGACACCCUUCCUGCCACGUUAGAUGAUGAGUAAACGACGUCAUUUAUUCUUGGUAUCCAAAUAAGUCAUAAAUGAAGAAUAGCAAAGGCAAAG